rnacentral:rRNA from 1 species
UACGAAGGGGGCUAGCGUUGCUCGGAAUCACUGGGCGUAAAGGGUGCGUAGGCGGGUCUUUAAGUCAGGGGUGAAAUCCUGGAGCUCAACUCCAGAACUGCCUUUGAUACUGAGGAUCUUGAGUUCGGGAGAGGUGAGUGGAACUGCGAGUGUAGAGGUGAAAUUCGUAGAUAUUCGCAAGAACACCAGUGGCGAAGGCGGCUCACUGGCCCGAUACUGACGCUGAGGCACGAAAGCGCGGGGAGCAAACAGG